GGGGCUGACUUGGAUUUCGACAGAUUUCUUGUCGCACAGACAGCAUGCCAAGUGCUGCUUGUAAAACAGCAACAAAAAUAACUGUAAACAACACAGAUUACGCUCCAGCUUACGCUAAAGUUGCGUGAGUUAAUCUCCUUUUGGAGCUGGACUGAUUAGAAUUUCUAGCGUUUUAAUCACUCCAUAACCUUAAGCUAGACGCUUUUAAAAGGUGGUUCGCCUUUUAAACUAAGAGACAAGAACUCUUGAAACUAUCUCAAGGUUUUAGAAAGUUGGACCAGAGCUAGUUUUAAGGCUAAAAAACCAACCAAUUUUCUAAGCAUUGUAGAAGUUUGUGUUUAGGGCAAGAUUUUUGGACUGGGGUUCGAUUCCCCACAGCUCCACCA
rnacentral:tmRNA from 1 species